GUUCUGUUCUGUUCUGUUCUGUAAUAGUGAUGAGACCAACAUGAAGUGGUGGCAAAGGUUUAACAAAGAAGGACUUCAAAAGGGCUUAGCUCUUCCACCAGAGCCCAGAAUCAUCCUACACAUAGAAACAGAAUUUAUCAAGAUGAAAAUUCAAAGCUGGUCAGAAAACAAGUAGAGCCCACAAAAGUAAAAAAAUGGCUUGUAUGUACAAUGUGAGGAAAAAGCAAUUCACUUUUGGUUUCAGCAUUUCAAAAGAAGGAUUUUUACUGAAUAACAUUAAGGUAUACAAUGGAGAAAGUUUGUUUGGGGAUUUUUUUUAAAAUUGACAGACGAAGGUGAAAAUGGAUAAUGACGGUAGACACAAGAUGAUCACAGUUGACAACUGACACUCAAUAACUAUGGUAACACAACACAGGUCCUUGAUGAAUAUUGAUACUGGAGGUAUGAUAUAAAGGGGACUACUGUAAGGUGAUAUGGGGGUUUAAGUGGAGACAGAAGAAUGAAUCAUUAUGGUGUUAGUGACCUGGAAUAAUGACAGG